rnacentral:rRNA from 1 species
UAGCCGUAAACGAUACUCGCUAGGUGUCGGCCACGGUGCGACCGUUCUGGUGCCGCAGGGAAGCCGUGAAGCGAGCCACCUGGGAAGUACGGUCGCAAGGCUGAAACUUAAAGGAAUUGGCGGGGGAGGCACCACAACGGGUGGAGCCUGCGGUUUAAUUGGACUCAACGCCGGGAAGCUCACCGGAUAAGACAGCGGAAUGAUUGCCGGGCUGAAGACCCUGCAUGACCAGCUGAGAGGAGGUGCAUGGCGUGUGACUGU